AUUCCCGGCGGUCCGGCAGCCCGGGCACGGACGUUCGAAUCGUCCGGCGGGUCCGGCAUAGGGUGACGUCCCAUGGGGAACG
rnacentral:tRNA from 1 species